rnacentral:rRNA from 1 species
AUUGAACGCUGGCGGCAGGCUUAACACACGCAAGUCGAGCGGAGAUGAGGUGCUUGCACCUUAUCUUAGCGGCGGACGGGUGAGUAAUGCUUAGGAAUCUGCCUAUUAGUGGGGGACAACAUUCCGAAAGGAAUGCUAAUACCGCAUACGCCCUACGGGGGAAAGCAGGGGAUCUUCGGACCUUGCGCUAAUAGAUGAGCCUAAGUCGGAUUAGCUAGUUGGUGGGGUAAAGGCCUACCAAGGCGACGAUCUGUAGCGGGUCUGAGAGGAUGAUCCGCCACACUGGGACUGAGACACGGCCCAGACUCCUACGGGAGGCAGCAGUGGGGAAUAUUGGACAAUGGGCGGAAGCCUGAUCCAGCCAUGCCGCGUGUGUGAAGAAGGCCUUUUGGUUGUAAAGCACUUUAAGCGAGGAGGAGGCUACCUGGAUUAAUACUCUAGGAUAGUGGACGUUACUCGCAGAAUAAGCACCGGCUAACUCCGUGCCAGCCGCCGCAGUAAGAC